UUAAUUGGGUGGGCAUAAUUUGAAUUUGAAAUAUAUAAAUUUUUCAUAGGGCACUCCUUGAAGACAUCACACUCAUUAAGUUGGGGUUUGAAGGUUGGUAUUCACUAAGGGAAAAGCCAAACUUCAAGGCGACUUAAACCACAGGUUUCCACUGUUACGGAUCUUAGAAUUCUAGAUUCUGCUGUAACCUCGAUAUAACAGGGAGGUCCUGCAGCCCUGAUCACUAUCCACAGAUUAAGUCAAAACAAAACAGAGCAUAAAUGUGACUACAAACCAUGAGGGAUUAUGAAAAUCCUUACUGCAGAUUUCCCCGAGGGAGCUAAUCUAGCAGCCAAAAUGACACGGUGUGCCAUACCCAAAGAUUCCUAAAAGUCAUUUUCCCUAAAACGUCGCUAUCUCUCACCCUGAACCUCCCAUUACCCUCACCAUCCUGCUGCUCUGUUUUCCACUCUGUCCCCGGCCUAACACUCUUUAAACCCUGGAAACCCUACCCCUGACUACGUGCGCACCCUAAACUGGUGUGGGCUAGUUUCUACUAUGAAUGUUUUUGUAGACACUGCUAGAAUUCACUACAACCUCCUUCACACAGACAUGCAGAAUUCUGGAGAAUUAAUUCUCCACUGAUCACCCCCCGUUUAAAAUUUUUCAGUUUUAUGUAUCAUUUCCCAAACUAAAGCAUAAGAGAUUUGAUGGCAGAGACUAAUUUAUAAUUUUUCAAUUUUCAGCCCAAUUGGGACCCCUCCCAGGCCAAAUAUUUUGAAAUUGAGGUAGUAAUUUUAAAAUAACAAUUAUAAUGAGGAACAACUGGCAAUUCUAUUUUAAAAAAAUUAUUAGCCAGGCUCAAAAUUUCAUCCUCAGUUUGGUCAUGAAGUUCAGGCUUGGAGCAAAACGAGAUUAAAAAUAAAUAGCAGAUGGGAGAAAAUUAUAUGACUGUUAAUCUAAAUGUUUAGCAUGUUGGACCCAAGCAGUGAUUCUCAACUUAGAUCCUGAACCAGAGAACUCACAGAAACAAGCCUUACACCAAGUAACUAAUUAGCCAGUUACAUAAACAACUCAUCAGUUAACUAACCAACUAAUUAAUGAUAUGGAUCUCUUUUGACUGAAUUGACUCAAGUUUUCUCCCAAUUAAUAACUAGUCAAUUGAUGAGUAAAAUAACCACAUUUUAUAAAGUUGGCCUCUUUGUUUAGUUUGUUUAUGCAUGAAGCGUGCAUGA
rnacentral:lncRNA from 1 species